AUGUUAAUUGCGCUCAAUCGCCAUCUUAGGAUAUGUCGCCCUACAAAUGCACAGCUAACUCCAGUCAGGAAAACACGAGCCGUGGUUGUCAUGAUAACAAUCUCCAUAGUGAUGUCCCUUCCAAUGAUGUAUUUUCUGGGUAGCAGAGACGUUCCUUAUACGUACAAGGGGGAUUCUAUCAAUGCUACUCUUUGCACUCUCAGGUUCACUGACGGAACUUUGAACAUAUUACAAAACGCAUAUUUUUUUUUUCAAAUAGUCCUUGCUUUAAUGAACAUGAUUGUAACUUGUGGAUUGUAUAUUCCCGUUGGUGUUACAAUCUAUCGAAGAUUCAAAAUAUUUAACCAGAAUAUGAAGAAUAGAGGUGGAUCAAGUUUCUUCUCCUCAGGGUCUACGAAUCAUUCCAGCGUUAAUCCGGCUCAUAAGGUCCAUGGAAAGGUAUGUUGCAACGUUCCGCAGCACGAGAUUUCAGUGAUCUCGUACGCUUCGACAGGUGCGGGGGAGAACGAGAUGUGCCCGAAAUGUGCGACAAGUACGCAGCCGUCCGCAGCCGAACGAAAAGCCGCCUCUCUCAACCGCCGAAAAGUUUAUAGACGGAAAAAAGCUACGCAUAACUUUACGCUCAUGUUUGCAACGAUUAUAAUAGUGUAUAUCCUGGCUUACGUACCCACACUGAUUCUUUUUAUGUUACCCGGAAGUGAUCCAGCUAAUUUCUGGUUUUCAAGAAGUGGAGUGGAACUCAAUGUUUUAGUCUUUUUUCAGAGAGCUUUCGUCAUUAACAAUAUAGUUAAUCCAUUUAUUUACAGCUAUUUUGACUUAGCCUUUCGAAAUCAACUUUUUCAUUUUUUAAGUUGUGGAAGAAUAGAAGCUUAAAAUAUCAGUGUUUCGAUAUCUUUACGAGGAAAGUAAGUGCGAUAAUUUGUUAUGUUGUUCAUGUUUUGUUACUUGUUACUUACUUGGUUUAUAUUUCAGGCAUAUGAAAAUAUUUCAGCUUGUUUCAAUUUCUAUUAACUUUGCAUAUGCACGGAUGUUUACUAGUAUAUGAGUCUUGUUAUUUUUAAUGUAUAAUAAUUUAUUAGCUGUCCAGAGACAGCGGAAUGUGUAAUGUACAUUAUACGUAUUUCUUGCUUUAAAAAUGUUGUAUAUUAAAUUGAAUUGCUGGUUGCACUUGCAAUGCAUUUGUAACUCGUACAAAUGAAUUUCAUGUAUACUUUCUUAUAAUACAUGGACCAUCCACGUUCGUUUAUCUAUUAAAUUUAAAUAGAUUUU
rnacentral:sRNA from 1 species